AAUACAGAGGUCCCGAGCGUUGUUCGGAUUCACUGGGCGUAAAGGGUGCGUAGGCGGUUCUGAAAGUCUGAUGUGAAAUCUCCAGGCCCAACCUGGAAACUGCAUUAGAAACUACAGGGCUAGAGGCUUGGAGGGGGAACUGGAAUGCUCGGUGUAGCAGUGAAAUGCGUAGAGAUCGAGCGGAACACCAGUGGCGAAGGCGAGUUCCUGGACAAGUCCUGACGCUGAGGCACGAAAGCCAGGGGAGCAAACA
rnacentral:rRNA from 1 species